rnacentral:lncRNA from 1 species
AGCUAACACUAUACAAUCAUAUUUGAUGAAUAUUGAUACCAUUGAAAUUUAAAAUAUGAUUUGACGAUAGUUCAUUAGAUUAAUAUCAUCACAUCUAAAUAAGUGUUUGGUUUAGCUUGUAGAACUGUCACUUUUCAGGAUCAAUGAAUGAACAAAGACAACAGUAGUAUGCCGCUGUUCAAUAGCCAUGAAGUUGAAAUAAGCUGACUUUAAAGAAGACUAAAUGUUUAAGUUCAAUAUUUUAAUUUAAGCUAACAUUAUACAAUUAUAACACUUUUAACCACGAAUAUGUUCGUAACCCAAAUCAUAUUUUCUUAACCUCGAUUGUAGCAUCACUAAAUGAGACUCAUCACCGAAUUUGUAAAUGCCUAGAACAACACGACAGAUGUCACAUGUAGAAGACAGGAUCUGCUUGUCAUUCACGAGCACCUGAGAUCCGAUCCUUGUUUUUUUAGGACAAUGUCACUUCCGGUUUUUUGCUAUUGCGGUAUAAGUUGCUUUUCUACUUGUAAGCUUUUGGAUUACUUUUUGUAUCUCCCGUCAAUUUCUUUAAGGCAAAUGCAUGUUUUAUUGCUCCGAAUAUAUUGAUCAAGGACGCACGUAAAAAGGCUGCAAUUGUAUCAUUAUACUAUUAUAUUAUUCUAUGCACUGUAUUUUAUCGUCCUAGAGGUCAAUUUGAAAAUAAGAUGUGGUUUAAUUGUCCAUUGCUAUACGACAACUCUCCACCGGUGACAGAGUGACAUAUUUGCACAUUUUCCCCUUGUUAAAUGCAUGUUAAAACAUUGUUGUGACGUCAUUCCAUUGUUCUACCUGUUGUU